ACCUACGUGGCUCAGUCAGUUGAGUGUCUGACUUCAGCUCAGGUCAUGAUCUCAACUUUGUGGGUUUAAACCCCAUGUUGGUC
rnacentral:tRNA from 1 species